GCUUAGAUAUAUUUGCCUACUUGUCGUGUGUACAUAGCAGUCAUAGAACAAUAUUCAUUGCACAUUAGGAGAGUCGCUAGUGGAGAGAGCCGAAUCAGCGUAGAAGCUACACAUUUUAUUUCCUGAGAGAAUCACCUUGAUCUCACAGAGUACUAUUUCUGACCAUUUCAAAGUUUCCACCCACCCUCCCUGAAUGUUUGAGUGUGUUCUAAAAGUGUUUCCUGAUGUAAAUAAUCCUCUUCUUCUCUUCCUAGUAUAGGAAUUUCUCUCUCUUCCCCUCUGUCCCUCCCGACUUUGUAAUGCUAAGCUUGUAAAUAUAAAAAGAGAGUGAAUGACUGGUGCUGCUUCCCCCCGCCCCCCAUUUCUUCUUCAAAACUCUCGUUUAUGUAAAUGAUGUUCCUCACUGCUGCAGCUCCUGUCGUUACUGUGAUCCAGACCUUGGAAACACUUAAUUGGCACUACAGUUUUCCUUUUUUUUGUUGUUUCUUUCAGAUACAGCACACAGAAAAUAAGAGAGGAGAUAAUUGUGUAUUUUAAUUAGGGAUGGGCAUCAAAAUGGAUGAAUUGGUCAUUAGAAUUGGAGUGCUCUCCUUCAUUCAGUCUCCACUAGGGCAACAUGGGGAAACAGGAGUUCAGAACGCUCAGAGAGGGAUUCUAACAUCCUAUUAAAAUUAGAUUCAAAGUUAAUUUUCCCCAUAAUCAAUGAAGGAAAUGUCACAUGCCCAUUCCUAAUUGGAAUUAGUUUUUCCUGUCCACGCUUCAAGUUAGCGUAGCGGAUGGAGAGCGGUUUGGGAAGCUCCUGCAUGUACUGACAUGAAUAAAAUCCAGAGAUUCAAUUCAACUGACCUGGGGGGAGGGGUUAUUUUUAUUUGGUUCUGAAUAAAUAAGCGCUGUGUGGUUAAUGUGCGCUUCUUUUUCUUACAUGGAGUUCUAGUUCAUAGAGUUGCAUUUGCAGCCACACCACCACCACAGUGUAUGGUGAAAGUGAUUUUGCACUAUUAAGGAUCGUUCUCAUUUGAAUAUGCUUCACUGUUGAGCCCGUGCGCUCAUCCGGAAAUUGUGCAGCAAAAAGCUGUCCCUCCUUCAUGUCUGCUUAUGUCUUCCACAUUUCAUAGCGUAGACGAGGUCCUUGAAGUCCCAUCACUUGCAGCAUGUGUUUUGUAGAUGCAAAUUGUUGCCACAGUGAUGAAUCAGCACCUGAUAUCUAUAGGUUGCCACAUUGUCCAAAAAAAAGUACCUAUAUAUCUCAGUCAUGUUCAUAUUGGAGCUUACUUUAUGUUUAAAACAUGUUUGUCAGAUUCUGUAAUCUGUAUUGUCAUCCUGGUAUACAGGAAGUGUUCUAGUUCCAAACUUGUAAAUCGUCACGUCUCCUCAUCGCUUCUUGGUUUCGAAAAAAGAGGAUGCUCUGUGUGUUUUUUGGGUUUUUUUUUUUAUUGUCAUCAAUGAUGCUAUAUAUCACCAGUGUGGGAGUGUCCAAUCCUUUCACGUGGCACCGACAUGCACACAAAGUCUUUGUCAUACUUAAUCUAUCCAUCGUUCAAAGUUUUUUUUUUUUUUAAUUUACAAUGUUUUUCUGGAAGAGUCCACACAUGACAGGCACAUUUUCCAGUAAAUAUUUUGGUCUACCUACACAUUCUAUACAACCUGACUAUUGUUGGCAGCUCUGCACACGGGAACACGACUGAAUAGGCACUCUGUUGUCAUAUUACAUAAGUUAUAAAUUCAAAGGAAAUCGCACUAAACCAUAUUUGUUUCAUAGACAAAGUGUAUACAUGACACAAGAACCUGAUUUAUUAAUGCCCAGCAAUGCACAGUAGCGUAUUACACUAGAACGCGAACUGAGUGCCUAUACAACCUAAUAAGAUGAUCCCUUGUUUCUACCUACAUGCCAAACGUCUUAUACACACUAUUUCACCAUGUGUGGCUUCCUGUUUUUUUUUAUCAUGGGCCAAUGUUUAAAGCACGUAGACUGGAACGCAGCUUCACACGUUCUGCUGUAGUCAAAGAAUGGAGAGUUGUUAGGGUGGUGAUGUCACUCGAUGCUGGAUGCACAGUCCGCUCUGAACAUGGGCCGUAGCGGCCCCCAGUGGUCAAAGUCAGGUACUACCUGUUUACGAUGGAACGCAGUUUACUGUUUCUUUGGCUCGAAUCAGGGAUAUUUUCCUACUGCGGUAUGAGGCGAGGACGUAAAAUUCCAGUUGGACUCCCAAAAACGCGCUUUUAGUGUAUAUUAGGUGAAACUUUAGUGAAUUUGACUAUAGCGUGUGAUUAGACUUAUGUUUGCAACACUGGACCCAGUUAAAAUUACACAAUCUUUUAUUAUGGUGGAUCUUCAAAACCCUGUCUAUAACGAAAUGAGUUAUCAUUUUGCGAUUUUUUUAAACUAUUAAAAUACCUAGUAUGGAAGCGUCGUCAUUAAAUCUGCCUGUUUUCAAGCCCACGCACAGUUGUUAUGCCGAGCAAACGCUUGCGUAUCACCUCGAGAGUGCGCACGUCUUGACGUCACAGUUGCGUUCACCUCUUCAGCUUCCGGUAUUAUGGCCGCGCACUGAAGGAAAAGAAGGCGGCGGGUUCAGUGGCAUGUUUGGUUGGUGGUAGCUGUUAGUGGCGAUAUGAGGAAAUGUACGUCCUGGCCGGUGUGUUUGACGCAGCUGUUCCGGCUGGUUAUCCGUGAGUCGAGAGCUCGCGGUUCCCUCAGGAGGUACAGCAAGGUGUGCCUAGCCUUACCAGAGCGUCUCCAACUCUUUGAGUCUCUCAGGGAGAAAAAGGACAAUAACAGGAGGAGAACCAAAGUGUCUGCGAAGCCCCUCAGCAUCCGUGUAGGUGACAGCCAGGUGGUGAAGGGCACAGCUGGGGUCACCACACCGCUCUCUGUCGCUCAGAGUAUUCGGGAGAAAGGAGCUAUGGUGGGUAAGGUGAAUGGGGAGCUUUGGGACCUCGGACGCCCCCUGGAGGGGGACUGUGACCUGCAGCUUCUUGGUUUUGACACACUUGAGGGAAGAGAGGCCGUGUGGCGGACAGGAGCGUGUGUGCUCAGUGGGGUGCUGCGGACGGAGUUUGGUGCCAGGGUGUGUCGCGAAGGCGUGUCUGUGCUGGGACUUUACUGCGAUCACGUGAUGGAGAACAGCGACCCACUGCCUCUGAGUGAGGUGGAGGAGCGAUGCAAGGAGGCCGCCGCCCUCACGCUGCCUGUGAGCAGGCUGGAGCUCAGCACACACGAGAUCCAGGAGCUCUUCCAGGAGGACGUGCUCAGAUUACAGCUUGUCCAGGAGCAGAUGACCGGUCCCACUGCGAUAGUAUACAGGUGCGGAGAUGUCAUAGCAGUUUCUGAUGGUCCCCUCCUUCCACACACUGGCCUCCUCAGGGUGUUCAAGAUGCUCCAGCUGUCAACUCUGACCCUGGCCAACCGGAACGAGUGCGCGGGUUUGAUGCGUCUCUCCGGAGUGGCCUUUCCUAGAGAGAAGGAUAAGGUGGAGUGGGAGAGGGAGCAGGAGGAGGCCCGCAGGAGGGACCACAGACGCAUCGGGACGGACCAGGAGCUCUUCUUCUUCAAUGACGUCAGUCCAGGAAGCUGCUUCUUCCUGCCCAAAGGAGCACACGUGUACAACACCCUCACAGACUUCAUCAAGAGCGAGUACCGACGGCGAGGCUUCACCGAGGUCAUCACCCCGACGCUGUACAGCACUGCAUUGUGGGAGCGCUCGGGCCACUGGGAGCACUACAGCGACAACAUGUUCACCGUGACCUCCGAAGGCUGUCAGACAUAUGCGCUCAAACCCAUGAACUGCCCCGCACACUGCCUCAUGUUCGAGCAGCGUGUGCGCUCAUGGCGGGAGCUUCCUCUGCGCUGGGCCGACUUCGGGGCUUUGCACCGUAACGAGCUCUCAGGCGCUCUGGGAGGCCUCACCCGGGUCCGCAGGUUCUGCCAAGAUGACGCUCACAUCUUCUGCACACCUGAGCAGCUGGAAGAAGAGAUUGUGGCUUGUUUGGACUUUGUGAGGAGCGUUUAUCAAGUGUUUGGGUUUUCCUUUCACUGCCUCCUGUCGACACGUCCAACUCCGUGCCUCGGGGAGCCUGAGCAGUGGGACAGCGCUGAGCAGCAACUGGAGCGGAGCCUGCAGCACUUCGGCGAGCGCUGGGAGUUGAACCCUGGAGAUGGAGCCUUCUAUGGGCCAAAGAUUGACAUCCAGAUAAAAGACGCGAUUGGCCGACAGCACCAGUGCGCCACCAUCCAGUUGGACUUUCAGCUGCCAAUCAGAUUUGACCUCCAGUAUGUCGGACGGGACGGUCAUGUGCAUCGACCAGUGAUGAUCCACCGAGCGGUGUUGGGAUCGCUGGAGAGGAUGAUUGCCAUCUUGGCUGAAAACUUUGGAGGGAAAUGGCCCUUGUGGUUGUCCCCAGCGCAGAUCAUGGUCAUUCCUCUAGGGGGCAGCUGUGAGUCAGCUGCCAAGCAGGUGCUCCAUCAGUUCCGUGAAGCAGGCUUCAUGGCUGACCUGAAUGACGACACCAGCGCCACCUUGAGUAAGAAGAUCCGCUCCGCCCAGCUGGCGCAGUACAACUACAUGUUAGUGGUGGGCGAUGAGGAGUGCCAGAGCGGCACCGUGAGUGUGCGAAGCCGAGGCGGUAAACAACUGGGCAGGAGGCCCGUGGAAGAGGUUCUGAUGAGCCUCAAGCGGCUGCGAGACGCCAGGAGCAACCAAGAUGACUUUUAAAAUAAAGAACAACUGGCUUACCUUUAAAAGAGUGGAAGAAAGGGAGGAUGCAGAGGAGGAUUUGACUAAAAUAGGAGUUGGAGCCAGCGGCAGCAGCAGCAGUGUGUUUUGGUUGUGUUGUGGUGGAAACAGCCAAGUCAAGGCCUUUCUACCUUUUUAAAAUAUCGUCCCAGGCUAUUCUGGAAGGAUAACCUCUUCCCCUCACAGAUCUCCUUAUAACGGCACACAGAAUCCAUGACGCCUGUAGCAUUCAUUGGCAUUCAGACUGAAUGCCACUCUCCACUCUGAACAUUUUACGAUGUUCGUUUUCACUUCCAUGCGGAUGGCUUUCCUUUUCUUUGGCGCACUGUUGCUUAGGAGACAUUAAAAGAAAUGAAAUUUCUAAAUGGCCCCCACAACCUUCAUUUUUCUGGAUUUGCUGGAAAAAGUUGGGACACCCCAACACUGAAAGGUUCCGCUACAAUCCUCUCCCGUGCUUCACACGUUUAAACCUGUAAAGACAAAGUCAAGCUUCCUGGAACGACUGCAACCCCUCAUCAUGCAAGUACACGCUACCUUUAAUGCAUGACUUUUAUUUAGUUACUCACUGGAGUGUACUGUAAUUACAACUGAGCGUGUGUUGCCUUUGCAUUGUACAGCUGGGCUCUUAAUGCAACUCAAGGACCAGGUUCUAGCAGAUGUGUUGAUGUUCUUGACUGGUACGACUGCAGGUCUGCAGAGAGACAAAACCUGUGCUCUGGCUUCCAGCACCUCAGGAUGCAGCGCUCUCUGCUUGACAUACUGGUAGCUUCCACUUCCAACUCGCCCAGCUUUGGUCCUUUUUAUACUCACCGGUCACGAAAUUAGGUACAGUUGAGAGAUGAUGUUCACCUCAUCUGGGUUGGUGAGGCAGCCGUUUAAAUUGCCCUGCACUGGGUGAGCAAUUCUAUCAAAAUUAUUAGUAGAAAACUUUGUUGAACCAAGAUUUGACUGAUUAGUAUUAUGCAGUGGAACCUUGGUUAAUGUCCGCCCCGGUUAGGGUGUCUUUUUGUUUUUUUGGCUUAUCGUUGAAAAUUGAUGCCACUAUUUUUGCUUUGGAUUGCGUGCAUUCUCUGGUUGUUAAUAUACUGCGUGAGGCCAUCUGCAUUCUUAACAUUUGUGAGCAUCCUAUUAGCUACCGAACAAAAUGGCACCCCGGAACGGAAAGUUACCGAUAGCCGUCCAUCUGUGAUGUCAUCAGCGGUCGACUCAAAAAUGUUAACACAGAAGCCAUUUUUAUAGUUUAAUAAUUAUUUUACAUGCAUAAAAAAAAUCUAGAUGCAUAUGAAUAAGGAAUGAAAGGGCUACGUGAACAUCUAAGGUUACUUUUACCUGAAGACGACUUUUUAAAAUCAGAAGACCAGAAGGUACGUUGCACGUCUACGACGUAAUCAGCAUUUGACUCAAAAAUGUUACCAUAAACACGUUUUUAGUUUUAUAAUUAUAUUUUACAUGCAUAAAGCAAUUAAAAAUGAAAGGGAUACGUAAACAUUUGAAGGUACCUUUACCUUACCUGAAGACUGCUGUUCCCAAAGACAGGAUGUGGCAGCGAGACACCACCGUCUUGUCAUGAGUUGAAGUCAGCUGGGAUAGGCUCCAGCAUACCCCUGCCACCCUAGUGAGGAUAAAUGGCAUAGAAAAUGGAUGGAUGGCUAUUUCUUGAAUUCAGUAGUGUUUCACACCUUUAUCAAAAUGCAACUUUCUUUGGCUCCAUUUUGGGUUACAGUAUUGAGGUGAGAAACAUUACUGAGUUCAAGAAACAACUCACGUCAAAACAGGAAGGUGGUGGUGGUUGAUCUCAGUGCCACAUGGUGUCUUUGGGGACAGUCACGUCUUCAAUGAAGGUUUGGUUUGGUUUAGUUUAUUUGAACAUGAAGGUUCCAAUGGAAUACAUCUCAUGAAUCAUUAUCAUUCUUUCACAGUUCCUCAUGUCCAAAAGGAGUAGGAAGAAGCAAAGCUUGUUUAAUCCUACCCCCCAUCCAAAUCUACAUCUAGUACAGUACAUGUAGUUCACUUCCUGCAUUCCAUGUCAUGUUUUCUCAUGUCAGAAUAAUAAUACAAAAUAGAUAACUGUAAGACACCCCUCCCAAAGGGAAAAAAAAAUUAUAUUUAUAUAUACAUUAAUAAUAAUAAUAAUAAUAACAAUACUAAAUAAAUAAAGAAAGAAAGAACAAAGCUUUUUUUAUAAACAAAAAAUAACAAACCUGACAGAACAUCAUUGUGAUGAUGAAGACUCUUCUGCCUUGUAUUUAGCAAACAUCAACUGCUUGUAUUGUUUUUUGAAUGUGCUCAUCUCUGUACAUUGUUUGACUUCCUUACUCAAUCCAUUCCAUAGUUUAAUUCCACAUACAGAAAUGCUGUGGCUUUUCAGCGUAGUUCUUGCAUAUAAAUGUUUUAGGUUUAAUUUUCCUCUAAGAUCAUAUUUCUCCUCUCUGAUUGAAAAAUACUGUUUGAGGUUUUUGGGUAACGAGUUAUUAUUAACUUUAUACAUUAUUCUAGCAUUCUAAAGUUUUUUCUAAAGUUUACUAAAUCUGCAAAUUUUAAUAUCUGUGAUUUUAAAAAUAAAGGUUUGUAUGUUGUCUAUACUCGCAUUAUGAAUGAUCCUCACCAUCUUUUUUGCAGUCCAGUGAGUGAGUGAAGAUUGCUUUUGUAAUUAUUUCCCCAUAUCUCCACACAAUACAUUAAAUAUGCUAAUACUAAGGAACAGUACAGAGUGUGGAGUGAUUUUUGGUCAAGAACAUAUUUUGCUUUAUUCAAUAUAGAGAUAUUUCUCGCCACCUUUUGUUGUAUAUUUUUAAUAUGAGAUUUCCAACUCAUUUUUUCAUCUAUUACAACCCCAAGGAAUUUAUAUUCUUCCACUUUUUCAAUAUCCACUCCAUUAAUUUGUAUUUGGUUGUACGUGUAAGGUAAAAGUAACCUGAAAUGUUCAUUUAUCCCUUUCAUUCAUAUUUACAUGUCCUUCGUUUAUUGACCAUCCCUAAAUAGCCCCCAAAAAGUGAAAUCCGCAAAUCAGCCAACUUCAUUUUUUUACAAUAUUAUAUGUUUUAAGGCAGUAAAACCCCUCACUAUGGGCACAGGCAAUAACGUUUUCUCACAUUUCUCUCUUGUUUAAACACGCUCAAAAAAGCUGAAACCUUUGUUUGAACUUAAAUGAUCAACCUUAAUGAUCAACACAAGAAAUUAAGUCACUCACGUGUAUUUCACUCAUGUGACUGUGCCUUUUCAACCUGGCACCUUCCCUCUGUAUGGUAGCGUUUUUGUAUCCUUGUUAAAACAUAUUGCUGCAGACAACCGAAGAUUCAUUUACACGCUAGCAAGCUAGCGAUGACACAGGAGACAUGCCGAGCUAUGAAGGAGAUUGAUUGACAGUGGUCUACAGCCAAUCAGGAUGCAGAAAACAAUGGGCAGUGCAGACAGAUGAGAGACAAUGCAAUGCAAUGCAAUUCCUCUUAAAAGGCCAGGCUCGCUUGUUACAGCAUUCAUACAGCUGUAAUUAAAAAAAGAAGCACAAAAAAAAGCCUGCGAAAGGUGAACCGCGAUAGAGCGAGGGAAUACUGUACACUGCUCAAAUCAAUAAAGGGAACACUAAAAUAACACAUCCUAGAUGUGAAUGAAUGAAAUAUUAUUCAAUACUUUGUUCUUUACAUAGUUGAACAAAAUCACACAAUGGAAAUCAAAUGUAUUAUUAUUAUUGGGGGUGUCUUGCUGUCAUUUCAUUUGCACACCAGCGUGUGAAAUUGAUUGUCAGUCUGUGUUGCUUCCCAAUUGGACAGUUUGAUUUCAAGUGUGAUUGAUUGUGUUCCCAUUAUUUUUUUUGCACAGUUGAUUUAUAAGAAUUUCCAAUUGUUUUCGCCGUGUAAAACUAUAAAAACGCGUUUUAUGAUCUUUUUGGCGUUCUGGAACAGAUUGAUUGGAUUUACAUGAUUUCUUAUGGGAAAAAUGGAUUCGGUUAGCGUCCGUUUUGGUUCAGACCUUCUGGAAUGAAUUAAUGACGCAAUCCUGGGUUCCACCGUAUUAUGGUUUUAGAAUGUCAUUCAGCAUCUUUGAACACCUAGCGCGGCACUCGAUACAGUGAAUCCCCGCACAUUUGCAAUUCAGUAUUCACGGCCCUGCAAAAUUGCAGAUUUGUGGUUAUUUUAUUUUCCCCAAAAAUUGGUAAUUGAUCAAGAUUUGAUAACAUGGGUAAAAUGUACAACACGUGUCAAAGCUCAAUUGUGGCCAGCGAAAGCCUGGGAAUAAUAUCUGUUAAUCAUGUGCUUCACCGUUUCCCAUCUAAAUGUAUUUGUUCUUUCAUUUUGACAGAAUUUUUUUUUUCUAAACUUUAAUAUUAUCUGAUCAUGCAACAAGAUAUUACAAGCAUUUUUAGUUAUCAAAACUAAAUACUUGAACAUCUGCCUGUCAUUCUCACUUCACUUCUCAUUUCAAA